CGUUAUCUAAUAGUUAUUGGGUCUUAUUAAUUAUUGGGCCUUAGAGAGUUAUUCAAAAUUGGGCUCAUUUGAAUUGGGCAUUCUUAUUGUUGGGUACAGUAGCCUUGAAGAAGAAAGGCUAGGUUUCUUCGUGCUUCAGCUCAGCGCCCCCAAGGAUAAUCGCUGGUGCUUCGUGCUCAACUCCUCCGACGACAUGAAUUUCGAGUGUCUAGGUCUCCUCCGGUGAACGGCGAUCCAAGGUAUUUACUGUAAACUUUUUUUCAGUAUGUGUGAAAUUAUUUCAGUAUUUACGGUAAGCUUUCUCACCCAUUCUUCUAUUUCCGUUGAUUGUACUCUGCCGCGGUUCAUUUCCGAUCAUCUACUCCGGUUGAAAAUGGCUUCCACCCAAUCAUCUCUCUGGCAAAGCAUCUGAAGACCACUCCACUGGAAUCACCGCUCACUUCUCCUUCUCAAUUUACUCUACCUCUCUGAUCACUAAAGCCCUCCUCCCAAGGUAAAAACUGGAAAGAGCAGUUUGGAACAGAUAUCUAAAGUUUAUGGAAAUCAAGCUGUGGUUGUAAGCAUUGAUCCCCGUAGAGUCUACAUCAAUGAUCCCAAUGAUGUGGAGUUUAAGACUGUAAGGGUCACAAAUAGAGCUUGAUCAUUCUCUGUUCGUGGAAAUCGAUCGGUGGGGCAAUCGAUUCAUUCACGGAGACUUUUGGCAGGUGGUUUAAGUGUAUAAUCGUGGUGGUAUCAUUUAAAGAUUUUUCUUGAAGGCUAGUUUGUAGCUGAGAAAAAAUAGUUAAAUAAUUUGGACAUCAUGUUUGAUAAAAGUUGGUUACGCUUCAACAGAGCCUCAAAUGAGUAUAAGGAAGGUGCUAGGAGUUUUGUAGAGACAAUAGAGAAAGAGGCUAAUUAUCCAGAAAAGUUAUUAUGUCCAUGUAAAUUUUGUCGAAACUUAAGUCACCAAAAGGUCAAUUUGCUUUAUGAGCACUUGGUCAUAAAUGGAAUUGAUCCUACAUACACAGUUUGGUUUCAUCACGGGGAAGAAGCACCUAGAAGUGAUGAUAUUGAGGAAAUGAAUUCUUUUGAUGCUUUUAAUUUGUUUAGUGCUACAAAUAUUGAUGUUUGUGAUUCUGAAGAACCUGUAGAAGGCCCUGAUGACAACUUCAUCAAAAAAUUAGAAGAUGCACAAAUCGCAUUAUAUCCACAGUGCACAAAUUACACUAAGUUGUCAGCUAUUAUUGCUUUAUAUAAGGUUAAGACAACUAAUGGAUGGUCUGACAAGAGUUUUGAUGAGAUUCUCAAUCUUUUUCAUGAUAUGCUUCCAUGUGAUAACGUGCUUCUCAAGUCCACGUACUCAGUUAAAAUGUAAUAUU